GCGCCGGUGGUCUAGUGGUUAAGAUUCGAGCUUCCCAAGCUCGUGACCCGGGUUCAAUUCCCGGCCGGCGCA
rnacentral:tRNA from 1 species